CCUACGGGUGGCAGCAGUGAGGAAUAUUGGUCAAUGGCCGUAAGGCUGAACCAGCCAAGUAGCGUGAGGGAAGACUGCCCUCUGGGUUGUAAACCUCUUUUAUGCGGGGAUAAAGGUGUCCACGUGUGGAUGUUUGCAGGUACCGCAUGAAUAAGGACCGGCAAAUUCCGUGCCAGCCGCCGCGGUAAUACGGAGGAUACGAGCGUUAUCCGGAUUGAUUGGGUUAAAAGGGUGCGUAGGCGGAAUAGCAAGUCAGCGGUAAAAAUUCGGGGCUCACCCCCGUCGUGCCGUUGAAACUGAUGUUCUUGAGUGGGCGAGAAGUAUGCGGAAUGCGUGGUGUAGCGGUGAAAUGCAUAGAUAUCACGCAGAACUCCGAUUGCGAAGGCGGAUGACUGGACGGCAACUGACGGUGAGGCGCGAAAGCGUGGGGAGCAAACAGGAUUAGAUACCCUUGUAGUC
rnacentral:rRNA from 1 species